UUGGGAAAGCUCCCACAACUGUAAAUGAAGUCUCGUCCAACCACACCAUUGUGCGUCCAAGCUAUGUCCUUGGCUCGCAAACCCAUCAACUUGGUCGCCCAAUUCACAGUAUGGUCAAGAAGAACAAAAUCAAAGGCACCUCUGGAAGGCAAAUACCCCAUGAACCAUCUGUACAACAGUUGAGCACAACAUCUGAUCAAACCACCACGCCGCUUCUCGUUCCGAUUAUGGACCGAGUAAUAGACAUCCCCAACCAAGGUAGGAAUAGGAUUCCUC
rnacentral:lncRNA from 1 species